GUAGGGAUUUGGAGAUGUUGAUAUUCCAUGGUUGAUGGAUAGGUUUCUAAGAUGUUUGAAGAUGAAGACUUGGUGAGUCCUCAUAUAUUCGAGGACAAUAACCAACAUGUUCCUUUAUGUCUUGUAGUUUUGUUAUAGUUUUGAGUGGGCUUAGUCCCAUUGUUGUAUUCAAGUAUUAGAUGGUUUUGAGACAUCUUGGAUAAAGUCUAGAAAGUCUUCCGC
rnacentral:lncRNA from 1 species